rnacentral:rRNA from 1 species
AUUGAACGCUGGCGGCAGGCCUAACACCUGCAAGUCGAACGAGUGGCGGACGGGUGAGUAAUGUCUGGGAAACUGCCUGAUGGAGGGGGAUAACUACUGGAAACGGUAGCUAAUACCGCAUACCAUCGGAUGUGCCCAGAUGGGAUUAGCUAGUAGGUGGGGUAACGGCUCACCUAGGCGACGAUCCCUAGCUGGUGUGAGAGGAUGACCAGCCACACUGGAACUGAGACACGGUCCAGAAUCGUACGGGAGGCAGCAGUGGGGAAUAGUGGACAAUGGGCGAAAGCCUGAUGCAGCCAUGCCGCGGGUGUGAAGAAGGUCUUCGGAUUGUAAAGCACUUUAAGGUGGGAGGCGUUACCAACAGAAUAAGCACCGGCUAACUUCGUGCCAGCAGCCGCGGUAAUUC